UACGGGGGGAGCAAGCGUUGUUCGGAUUUACUGGGCGUAAAGGGCGCGUAGGCGGCCACAACAAGUCACUUGUGAAAUCUCCGGGCUUAACCCGGUAGCGGCCAAGUGAUACUGUUGGGCUAGAGUGCGGAAGGGGCAACUGGAAUUCUCGGUGUAGCGGUGAAAUGCGUAGAUAUCGAGAGGAACACCUGCGGCGAAGGCGGGUUGCUGGGCCGACACUGACGCUGAGGCGCGAAAGCGUGGGGAGCGAACAGG
rnacentral:rRNA from 1 species